GUGCUUCGGUAGCUCAGUUGGUAGAGCAUUUGCCCGUGAAAGGCAAAGGUCCCGAGUUCGAGUCUCGGUCCGGCACA
rnacentral:tRNA from 1 species